AUUGAACGCUGGCGGCAGGCCUAACACAUGCAAGUCGAACGAGUGGCGGACGGGUGAGUAAUGUCUGGGAAACUGCCUGAUGGCGGGGGAUAACUACUGGCAACGGUAGCUAAUACCGCAUACCAUCAUCUGUGACCAGAUGGGAUUAGCUAGUUGGUGGGGUAACGGCUCACCAAGGCGACGAUCCCUAGCCGGUCUGAGAGGAUGACCGGCCACACUGGAACUGAGAGACGGUCCAGAUGCCUACGGGAGGCAGCAGUGGGGAAUAUGGCACAAUGGGCGCAAGCCUGAUGCAGCAAUGCCGCGUGUAUGAAGAAGGCCUUCGGGUUGUAAAGUACUUUCAGCGGGGGGGCGUUACCCGAAGAAGAAGCACCGGCUAACUCCGUGCCAGCCGCCGCGGUAAUUC
rnacentral:rRNA from 1 species